rnacentral:tRNA from 2 species
GGCGACGUGGCCAAGUGGUAAGGCAGGGGCCUGCAAAGCCCUCAUCCCCGGUUCGAAUCCGGGCGUCGCCUCCA